CACCCACCUCGGCCUCCCAAUCAACUUAGUUUUAAUAGAAACAAUAACUCUUUCAUAUUAAAAUUUAUUUCCCCUGUCACCCAGGCUGGAAUGCAGUAGUGCGAUGAUCAUGGCUCACUGCACCUUGACCUCCUGGGCCCAAGUGCUCCUCCCCAUCUCAGCCUCUCAGGUCACUGGGACCACAUGCACACACCAGCAGGCCUAGCUAAUUUUUAUUUUUUUUGUAGAGACAGGGUCUCAACUAUCUUACUCAGACUGGUCUCAAAUUCCUGGGCUCAAGUGAUCCUCUAGCUUCAACUUCCAAAGUGCUAGGAUUACAGGUUUGAGUCACCACACCCAGCCUAUAACGUAUGUAUAAAGACAAAGCAAAACAUUAAAAAAAAAAAAAAAAAGGGUGGGAGCCUGGACAACAUAACAAAAUCCUGUCUCAACAACAACAACAAAAAUGUUUAAUUAGCUGGGUGUGGUGGCAAAUACCUGUAGCUCUAGCUAUUCGAGAGGCUGAGGCAGGAGGAUCGCCUGAGCCCAGGAGUUCAAGGUUACAGUGAGCUGUGAUCAUGCCACUCGACUCCAGCCUGGGUGACAGAGCAAGAUCUUGUCUCAAAAAAAGUGGGAACCAAUACAAUGACUCUUGGCAAGCAUUCAACUCAACUAGUGGAAGCAGACUGACCACGUCUACAGGAGAAAAACCUUCAAGCUUCAAGCAUUUAGAGAGGAAAUAAGAGUAUGUCAGUUAACAUAAGGAGCUAAAUGGAAAUCAGUUAAGAGAGCUUCUAUACAAGUCUUAAGGAUUUUCUAGGCCAAGUGCUGUGACUCACGCCUGUAAUCCCAGCACUUUGGGAGGCCAAGGCAGAUGGAUCACUUGAGGUCAGGAGACUAGCCUGGCCAACAUGGUGAAACCCCAUCUCUACUAAAAAUAUAAAAAUUAGCCCGGCGUGGUGGCAGGCGCCUGUAAUCCCAUCUACUCGGGAGGCUGAGACAGGAGAAUCACUUGAACCCAAGAGGCAGAGGGAGAGGUUGCAGUGAGCCGAUAUCACGCCACUGCACUCCAGCCUGAGUGACAGAGGAAGAUUCCGGUUUUUUUUAAAGGAUUUUCUACAUCAGUAUACAUAUAUUUAUCUCAUUCUUCCUAAUUGCUGCAUGGCAUUCCAUAGAAUUAGUUAUUUAGACAAUCUUCAUUUAAUGAACAAAUGAGUUAAAAUACUAUUUCAAAAAAUACUGCAAUAAAUAUUCUAGUACAAAUCUCUUCAUUAAUUCAUCAAUAAAUUAUUUUUCUCGAAUAAUCAUCUGAACAUGGAAUUACUGUACUACACUGAAGAACAUGCACAUUUCAAAAUUUGAUACUACCAAACGGCUCACCAAAAUUAAAACUAUUUAUGUAUAUUAGUACCCAUUUUAUCAUACCGUUACUGAUCUUUUUAAUUUUCGCCAAUCUGAUAGGUGAAAGAAUUCUUCCCCACUCUAUUUAUUUGCACUGAUAAUAAUUGGUGUCAGCAACUUCUUUCUAUAUAUUGGACAUCCAUAUGACUUUUAUGAAUUGCCUGUACAUAUAAUUUGCCUGGCCGGGCACGGUGGCUCACGCCUGUAAUCCCAGCACUUUAGGAGGCCGAGGUGGGCGGAUAACGAGGUCACAAGUUCGAGACCAGCCUGACCAACAUGGUAAAACCCCGUCUCUACUAAAAAUACAAAAGUAGCCGGGCAUGGUGGCACGCGCCUGUAAUUCCAGCUACUCAGGAGGCUGAGGCAGGAGAAUCGCUUGAACCCGGGAGGCGGAGGUUGCAGUGAGCCGAGAUCACGCCACUGCACUCCAGCCUGGGCAACAAGAACAAAACUCCGUAUCAAAAAAAAAAAAAAUACACUUCUCAUGGAAGGCAGCAGCAGGAUGUAAUGGUACAAAUUCUGGAUACACAGUAAAGGAAUAGAUGAUCAGUAAAUUCGUACUGAGUUUCUAAAACCUUCCAUUGCACCCCAAUCUGUCUGGUUCCCAUGCUGCUCCAGGAUGCCAGCUUGACCUCCCCAGCCAAGAAAAAAUAAUGACACAACACUGCACCUUAAGUAUGAAAUUACUUUGAAUACACUGCUUAGCUUAAUAUAUUGUUUCCUAAAGUGUUCCUAGGGUACAACUGGCGGUAUGCAAGAUGAUUUUAAUGGUACGAAAACGAACAUUUUAAUGACUAGUGCUUUUAUUUCAACUUACAUAAACAAUUAUAAGUAGCCCAUGAAACCCACGGUUUCAUUUAUAUUGCUUAGGUCGAGACUAAUGCAUUUAAACUUUUUAAGUAAGUCAAUUUAAAGAGAACUAUUCAGAAAACAAUAGUACAAUUGAUAAGAGAUUGCAAAAAUAGUGAUGGCACGGGAUUGACUUAAAAUUGUAUAUGCCUCUGGAACAAAGAGGUUUGUCCAUACCCUAUACAUCCCUCCAACAAAGUGAGUUGCCUCCGACGGAGUUGAAGUCGCCACCUCUGACUUCCCCAACAGGCAGCCAACUUGCCACGGGACAAAAGGACUAGACAGGGAAACACAACUGGCCCUUGGUUACGCCAAUGGCGUUGCAGCGCGCGGGGCACAACCCUCGGGGUUAAAGAGCCUCCUCGAGGAAGAGGCUGGGACACAGCUGAAAGAGAUUGACCCACAACCACUCUAGGGGCCAUCACCUGCCCUUCUUCAGUCCUGGGCGUGAAGGUAGAUUUCUCCCCUAGCCUGUGCGGGAGAGGAGCCCUGGUUUUUCUAACAAGGACUACUGUAGGUUCGCCGAGUUCGAGGGACGCUACGUAUGCAGCGCCUACGCCCGGACACAGGCUUCCGCGUUACCGACACCGCGUGGGGGAGGAGGGCAAGACCCGAGGCUUGCAGAGAUGGGGGGUGCACGGUGGCCACAGUAGGGAAGGUGCGGAGCAUGAUGGUGCUCUGUAGGAGCGCAGACGCUGAAAGGCGCGCUGCUGUGGCUGGGAGAAGAGCGGAGCCAGGAGUUUGUUCCCAAUAUCUUAGUGCUAUGGCAAAAGAAGGGGGAGGAGUAAUUGUGGGGCCCCCCACACACCCGCUGCGGCGAUACACUCACCCUCGCCAAAGUCCUUCCGGAAGUCUAAGUUCGAAGAUGGCGCCGCCUGUCUGGUCGCGGUCUUAUGACGAAAUCUUGUUAGCUGCUCUUCACUGACGCCCCCACCCCAGUGCACAAGAGAUGGGGUCUCGUUAUGUUGACCAGGCUGGUCUUGAACACCUGACCUGAAGUGAUCCUCUUGCCUCAGCCUCCCAUAGUGCUGCGAUCACAGGUGUAAGUCACUGAGUUUGGCCAUUAUUCCAUUUCUGUACACAAAAACCUUUCUCAUUCUGUGCUAUAACUAGUUAGCAUUUAAUUGGGUGGAUGUGGUAUAACUAGUGCCUUGUUGAUAUUGAUGCAUAUUUACAUGGUUUUGCUGUUAUAAACAAUGGUCCCUUGCUAUUAUAAAUCACACUGCUAUAAGUAACCUUGCAUCUAAAUUACUUCAAAUGUGUAACUAUAUGGGUAGGAUAAUUUCUAGAAGUGGAAUUGUGAACCAAAGUUUUAGGUGCAUUUGUAAUUUUGAUUUAUAACCAAUCUUUUCACUGAUCUACUUCUCUGCCUCUAAUUUCUACUAGGUGUUUGUUUGUUUGUUUGUUUGUUUUGAGACAGGGUCUUGCUCUGUCACCCAGGCUGGAGGACAGUGGUGCAAUCACGGCUCACUGCAGCCUCAACCUGCCACCUCAGCCUCCUGAAUAGUUGGGGUGUGUGGCAGGUGUAUACCACCACUUCCAGGUUUUUUUGUUGUUGUUGUUUAAUAGAGAUGAGGUCUUGCUAUAUUGCCCAGGCAGGUCUCACACUACUGAGCGCAAGCGAUCCUCCUGCCUAUGCCUCCCAAAGUGCUGGGAUUACAGGUGUGAGUUGCCAUGCCUGGCCCGGUUAUCUUUCUAAAGCAUAAAGCAACCCUGUUGAUCCUCUGCUUAAUUUUGAUGAUUAAGUAGUAUGUUCAAAAUAUAGAAAUCCAUGUAUUGAUAAUGAUCUUUUAAAAAAAGUAAAAGCCAAAAUAUCAGCUACUCAUCCUACACCAUUGAAAGUAGUGACCAUUAAACUGCUCUACCUCUACCUCCACCUCUCUACCUCUCUACCUCUCUACCUCUACCUCUACCCACGGUCUCCCUCUCUUUCCAUGGUCUCCCUCUCAUGUGGAGCCGAAGCUGGACUGUACUGCUGCCAUCUCGGCUCACUGCAACCUCCCUGCCUGAUUCUCCUGCCUCAGCCUGCCGAGUGCCUGCGAUUGCAGGCACGCGCUGCCACGCCUGACUGGUUUUGGUGGAGACGGGGUUUCGCUGUGUUGGCCGGGCCGGUCUCCAGCCCCUAACCGCGAGUGAUCCGCCAGCCUCGGCCUCCCGAGGUGCCGGGAUUGCAGACGGAGUCUCGUUCACUCAGUGCUCAAUGGUGCCCAGGCUGGAGUGCAGUGGCGUGAUCUCGGCUCGCUACAACCUACACCUCCCAGCCGCCUGCCUUGGCCUCCCAAAGUGCCGAGAUUGCAGCCUCUGCCCAGCCGCCACCCCGUCUGGGAAGUGAGGAGUGUCUCUGCCUGGCCGCCCAUCGUCUGGGAUGUGAGGAGCCCCUCUGCCUGGCUGCCCAGUCUGGAAAGUGAGGAGCGUCUCCGCCCGGCCGCCAUCCCAUCUAGGAAGUGAGGAGUGCCUCUUCCCAGCCGCCAUCACAUCUAGGAAGUGAGGAGCGUCUCUGCCCGGCCGCCCAUCGUCUGAGAUGUGGGGAGCGCCUCUGCCCCGCCGCCCCAUCUGGGAUGUGAGGAGCGCCUCUGCCCGGCCGCGACCCCGUCUGGGAGGUGAGGAGCGUCUCUGCCCGGCCGCCCCGUCUGAGAAGUGAGGAGCCACCCCAUCUGGGAAGUGAGGAGCAUCUCCGCCCGGCAGCCACCCCGUCCGGGAGGGAGGUGGGGGGUCAGCCCCCCGCCCGGCCAGCCGCCCCGUCCGGGAGGGAGGUGGGGGGGUCAGCCCCCUGCCCGGCCAGCCGCCCCGUCCGGGAGGUGAGGGGCGCCUCUGCCCGGCCGCCCCUACUGGGAAGUGAGGAGCCCCUCUGCCCGGCCACCACCCCGUCUGGGAGGUGUGCCCAACAGCUCAUUGAGAACGGGCCAGGAUGACAAUGGCGGCUUUGUGGAAUAGAAAGGCGGGAAAGGUGGGGAAAAGAUUGAGAAAUCGGAUGGUUGCCGUGUCUCUGUAGAAAGAAGUAGACAUGGGAGACUUUUCAUUUUGUUCUGCACUAAGAAAAAUUCUUCUGCCUUGGGAUCCUGUUGAUCUGUGACCUUACCCCCAACCCUGUGCUCUCUGAAACAUGUGCUGUGUCCACUCAGGGUUAAAUGGAUUAAGGGCGGUGCAAGAUGUGCUUUGUUAAACAGAUGCUUGAAGGCAGCAUGCUCGUUAAGAGUCAUCACCAAUCCCUAAUCUCAAGUAAUCAGGGACACAAACACUGCGGAAGGCCGCAGGGUCCUCUGCCUAGGAAAACCAGAGACCUUUGUUCACUUGUUUAUCUGCUGACCUUCCCUCCACUGUUGUCCCAUGACCCUGCCAAAUCCCCCUCUGUGAGAAACACCCAAGAAUUAGCAAUAAAAAAAUAAAUUAAAAAAUAAAAAAAUAAAAAAAUAAAAAAAACUCAUUAAGCUCUAAAAAAAAAAAAAAAAAAGAAAGAAAAAAAGAAAGUAGUGACCAAUUCCUGAAAAUUGGCAAAAAAAAAAAAAAGGCAAGAGUAAGGCAUUUAUCUUGUCUUUCCAGUAUGAACUCUAGUUCAAAAUAACUGAUGAGAGGAAGGUUUUGUUUGUUUUUUGAGACUGAGUCUCACUCUGUCGCCCAGGCUGGAGUGCAGUGGCGCGAUCUCGGCUCACUGCAACCUCUGCCUCCCAGGUUCAAGCAAUUCUUGUGCCUCAGCCUCCUGAGUAGCUGGGAUUACAGGCGCCCGCCACCACUCCCGGCUAAUUUUUGUAUUUUUUUAGUAGAGACGGGGUUUCACCAUGUUGGCGAGGCUGGUCUUGAACUCCUGACCUCAGGUGAUCCGCACACCUAAGCCUCCCAACGUGCUGGGAUUACGGGUGUGAGCCAUUGCCCAGCCCGGGAUUUUUUUUUUUUUUUAUAGAUUAACAGCUAGUAAUUGUGCAAAGAAUGAUAGAAAAAAAUCACUAUUUUGCAUGUCCCAGUGAAAUAAUUCAGGCAACAAUCACCAGUGGAUGAAAUCCCUAAAGAGCUUUUAGGAAGCUUUAAAAUGCCUGGACCCACUCAUCACUGAACAUGAAACCACCAGUCAUUGUUUGCCUCCUGAUGUGAGGCAAUAUAAAGCACACAGAACCACUUAUUAAACAUUCUUGCCCAAAAAAUUGAAUAGGAAUACAGGACUUAGGGGCCAGGCGUGGUGGCUCACACCUGUAAUCCCAGCACUUUGGGAGGCCAAGGAGGGCGGAUAAUCUGAGGUCAGGAGUUCAAGACCAGCCUGGCC
rnacentral:lncRNA from 10 species